UCAAGGCUUACGUAGAAGACCAGUGUAUCUAGUUAUGUAAGAAAGACCAAGAAUUGGUGAAUUAUUAAGCUUCAAAAUUUAAUGACGAUGGCAUGUGAAUUUUAUUACAUGCAUGAAAAAAAAAAAUAGUUUCUUCAUUACAAAGUACCUUAAUUAAAUUACUCUAUGGUUGGUGGUCAAGUGUUGGAAAUUAAAUUAAUUAAUUUACCUUUUGGAUGUAUUUAUAUUUGGAAUUUGGAGACCCCCCAAAAAAUCAUUAUUUGAGGUCCACGUGUAUCUCCAAAAGCAAAUAUGUAAAGUAAUCUUCAUGUUCUUUUUAUUUCCAAUACUUCAUAUACCAUCUAAAGUUUCUUCAUUACAAAGUACCUUAAUUAAAUUACUCUAUGGUUGGUGGUCAAGUGUUGGAAAUGAAAUUAAUUAAUUUACCUUUUGGAUGUAUUUAUAUUUGGAAUUUGGAGACCCCCCAAAAAAUCAUUAUUUGAGGUCCACAUGUAUCUCCAAAAGCAAAUAUGUAAUGUAAUCUUCAUGUUCUUUUUAUUUCCAAUACUUCAUAUACCAUCUAAUUUUAUGAACUGAUAUUAUAAAACAGAUUCAAAUCGUGGAACCAAUCUUCUGCAGAAAUUGCAGAAUAAAAUUAUGUAUAAUAAAUUUUUGAGGUUUGAUUUUUCUACGGACCUCAUGCAUAAUGAGAACUUAAUGCAUCG
rnacentral:lncRNA from 1 species